UCGCCCACUCGACCCAGGUGCGUUGCAUAUCAGUCUUUCUUAUCAUUACACAAUUCUGUUGCACCAUUAACAUAUACAACACGGAAGUUUAACUUUAUUCGUUUCACAUCUCAAAUGCGUAAAUUCAAUUUUAACGUAUUUUGUAACGCCUUCGCACAAUGAAUCAUGUUAUUCCUGUUCCUCAUACUUUUGACUUGGAGCAAAACUUCUCACAUGUUGAUUUCAUCUUUGAUUAUAUUUAUUAUCCCUUUAAAUUAAUCAUGUAAUGAAAAUUUAUGUUCGCUUUGUUUAAACUAUCAGUCCAACUGUCAGAUAGAUUAUCUAUUUAACUUUGAUCGUGGAUCAUUGAAUAUAAAAACAAGAUUCGUAUCUAAACGUAAAUUCAGACACAGUAUUUGCAGGUCGAACGUUGCCAAAGUUUAUUUUUGUAACCGUCCUCACGCCUACGCAAAUUGCUUACACUCACUUGCUGUUAAAUUUAGAAUGUAGUCUGUACUCAGCUUAUUUCCAUACCCUCGACGUCAUCAUAGUCACAUCCAAGUUAUUGCAAAACAGUUCCGAAGGUUAAAGAGAUGGACGUCACUGGCUCUACAAUAAAUUCCCGCAUUAUCGCAAUUGCAUUUGGUGUUAUAUCUCCCAUCCUUAUCGCACUUGCGUAUCUCCGACGAUAAUCUGAGAUAACCAGCAACCGUUUACACUGAGGGGAGAUUUAAAAAUUAUUAUUUGUUUGGUUCCCCUAUUGCGAGCACAUAAAAGUACACCGGUAUUGCACACACUGGACACAACACAAGAAUCUAUUAGGAGCGUAAAGUAAAUGAUCAGGUAUUAUUUGUCAGCAUUAGACCACAAAUUCCUAGGCUAAUGUCAAAUUAUUCAAAGCAAGGAGGUUCAUACAAUCAAUUAUCAGCUUUAGGACCUUAACUAGAUAUGAAUCAAUACUUACUGGCUCGUAUAACGGACUUUGUCCUCAAAGAAUCCGUAAAUUACAAUCACAAACGGAUCUUACUUCAUACGAACAUAUCAGCUACUAAAAUUUAAUUGGAAUUUAAAAAAGUAAGGUGAAAAAACAUUCAAACAUCAAUUAAUAUAUUUAUAAAACACAUUACUUAAAACCAUAAUUGAUUGAUACAACCCUUUCGAAGAUAGCUCACUAGUAUUCGUCAUAGCCUUGUACUACCUCGCCAUUUUUUAUUCCUUGCUAGUUUUUUUUUUCCGUGUCUCCAUGCGUGUGUAAUUUAACUAUGAAUUCAAGAUGAACCUAUCUCUGGCUUUUAGAUUCUAACUACGUACCAAUUUCAUUUUAAUUUAAAAUAUUUUAACUGUGAAAGUAUUGCAAAUGUAAAGAUUAUAUUUAAAAAAAAACAUAAA